AUCUCGAGGUUCUUUGAUAGGCAUGAAGAAAUCAUCUUGGUAGCAACCACCAAACCAAUAGAACCAGGGUUAGCUCAGCUGCUGGUCCACAAGCAAGGUAAGUAGGUCCAUUACCGGCCGGCGGAGGACCGAAAAGACCUAACAGAGUAAUCCCUUAUCUCGGAUCGGAGAUGCUGACGGGGCGGGAAUCGAAGUGGGGGAGCUCUCUACCGCCUGUGUCUAUCUCCUGUCAAGUAUGCUCCCCCAGACAUAGACUACGUAGAGGGUAGUAUUGACUCUUAGAAAGAUAAAAUAUCACUGCAAGAACAUAAGAUGUUGUUACGAAUAUAACUCCCGAGGGAUCGACCACUAUUCUAAAUAUAGUAAAGUAAGGCGGAGAACUGUUGUUCAUUGGAGUGCGGAGGUUGUUCCCAUCAUUGAAGUCAGAGUGUGGGACUGAGCCUUCCGAAUGAUAAAGACAAAAAAGUGUUUCGUUUUGUUGG